UUUAAUUGAUCAUGUUUUGACCUGUCCUAUUAAUAGUGUGAGAGUGAUAGGAGUGCAUCAUAGCGGUGAAGAGGAGCCAAAACUCCAUACAAAUUAGAAUACAUUUCGAUAAUAAUGAGUGAAAUAUACCCGAAAAAGAGAAAAUCACUUUAAACACAAAGGCACUGUGAAGGAGGGGAACACUAUCCGUUAAUAUCGGGUUUCAUAAUAAAAUUAAGUAAAAUCAAAUAAAUGGAAGUCCUUGCAGAGAAUUCUUCAAGCAUGCAGGCAUAUUGUUCGAUAAAUGGAGCUUAAAUAUGCAAGUGAGCCCCUUUGGAAGCUCAUAGGAGGGAUGGCUUGUAUUUUCCCUUUCUUUAAAGUACUCGACAAGAGAGCUCUCUCUCCUCGUCUCUGUCUCGGACAACUCCAAUGAAAACUCCCCGGCCAUGUCUGCAGCGCUUUGAAAAGGGGCUUUCGCGUGCAGGACAGGAGGCGAGCACACACGGAGGGGCAGCGAAUGGGGAGCAGAGCUGGGGGAAGGAAAAAGGGAGAAAGUGGACCACAGCGGGGCAUUGAGAAGAGAAGCACCGGCGAUGGCGUUCUGCAUGGAGCACCAGGUUCGUGACAUUUGCAAAAAAAAAAAAGAAAACAAAAAACAAAA